AAAUGCGAUAAGUAAUGUGAAUUGCAGAAUUCAGUGAAUCAUCGAAUCUUUGAACGCACAUUGCGCCCCUUGGUAUUCCGAGGGGCAUGCCUGUUCGAGCGUCAUUACAACCCUCAAGCUCUGCUUGGUAUUGGGCUCCGUCCUCACUGCGGACGAGCCUCGAAGACCUCGGCGGUGGCUGUUCGGCCCUCAAGCGUAGUAGAAUACACCUCGCUUUGGAGCGGUCGGCGUCGCCUGCCGGACGAACCUUCUGAACUUUUCUCAAGGUUGACCUCGGAUCAGGUAGGGAUACCCGCUGAACUUAAGC
rnacentral:misc_RNA from 1 species